AGAAAAAAAAAAAAAGUAUGGGGCUACUACUGAUUAACAAUGGCAACCUCAAACAAAAACUAUGAUUAAAUAAAUCAGAGAGAAAAGAGGAGGAGAGAAACCCUAAAACUAUCGAUUUUUUUUUUGUUAAUAUUUAAAAUGACGGUUUUUUUUUUUUUUUUUUUUUUUUUUGCGAAUGUUAAACAAAUCCCUAAAUAGUAUAGGUAAUAAAAUAAAAAAAAAUAUGUAUCACUUUAAUAAUAAUUUCAUGUUAAAAAAUGUUGGAAAAAUAGAGCUCUUGAAUAGGAAAAUCCGGUAUCGAAUUUUUGCUCUGCUAGGGUUUAUCACUUUAACAUUUAAAAAAAAAAAAAAACUAUUUUCAAGACAGUUCAUUUUCUAUUAUUUCUUUUUAAUAUUGAAUAUUAAUUAAAUAACUUACUUUUAAAAAUAUUUUUCCUUGACUUUUUUAAACACUUUAAAUAUAGAAAAAAUUCAAAAAUAUUUUUUAAAUAAAUUAUUUUCAAGAAAAAAUCUUGGAUAAUGGAAAUUUGGAAAAUUAGAUAAAUAAUAAUAAAACCUUAUGCACAGCAAACAUUUGUUAUAUGGUGUCCCAAGAAUAGUAAAACUUGUGGCUGAAUUUUGUAUUUCUUUUUUAGAUCACUCUCUAUCACGCUCUUAACAAUUCCCAUUUGCUGAAGUGGUCCCCAUAAAAGUAUUCUUGAUUGAGAUUUGAAUACGAAUUUCAAUUAAGUAAGCUUCAAGUUACAAACAUCAUCUUCACAAAAUUUCCUUCAUUGGUGAAGCAUUUAUCAUUUGGUAAGUUUUCUCAGAUUUAACACUAUGUUUGGAAUUGGGAGAUUUUAUGAUAGGAAGAAAAUUUUGAAUGGAAAAUAAGAAAAGAAAGCUAUUUUCCUCCUGCUUAAAUGUAAAUAAAAUUUGAAAGGAAAGAAAAUAUUACCAAAAUCCUUUCUGUCCCAUAUUUUAUUAAUCUCUCCAAAUUGGCGAGAAAAUAGGAGAUAAAUGUAUAAAAGGAUAGAAGUGUAAAUUUACAACAAUACAAUUUUCUUUCCUCCAUAUUUUAGACUUUUCUAAAUAAUAUAUAUAUAUAUAUAUUUUUUAUUUUUUUUUUUCCUUUCAAUCUAAACAUAAAAUGGAAAAUAAAGAAAAAAAGAGCUCUUGUUUUACUCGGCACAUGUACAAAAUAUAAGACAUCAAUGUGUUGAACAUGCAAAUCCCAUGCAUGUAUCUGCCAUGCAGGGAUUCAUAAUUAGCUCAACUGAAAAAUUGUUAAGAUCUUUCUUCAUUGUCUUUUUGUCAUAUAAAAAAACACGAGAAAAAUAAAAUAAAACAAGAAAAGGAAGCGCAUGCACAUGCCUGUAAAUGUAUAAUAUACAUCCAUCCAAAUGGGCAAAGAUUAGAUGCCUUCUCACCAUUUUUCCGCGCAUCCAAAACCGUAAGGGGCCACUCACACUUGAUGUGCAGGAUACUUAAAUCAGUUACGCAGCCAGAAAAUUAAAAUUAGAGAUAAAAAAAUUUUCAAGAGUUAACAAGAGUGAGAUUAAAAAUUUUAUUAUUUUAAAAGGAAAAAUAAAAAAUUUUAUUAUUUUUUAUUAUUAGACUAAUUUUAAAAGGUAAAAUAAUAUAUUUUCAUAUAUUAUUAGACUAAUUUUAUUUUAAAAUUUAAUAUUAUUUCUUCUAAGUAUUUUUUUAUGAAUAGAAAUUUUAAUAGAGAAUUAGAGAUCAUCCACUGGAUUUAAAAGUUAAAAUAUAUUUAUAAAUUAUUUCAUCUAUUACACUUAAAUUAUCAACUUGUAGCUUCUUCAUACAAAAUAAGGAGAUAAUUAAUUUAUCUUAAAUCUAUAAAAUUUUCAUUUGAAAUUAUUUUAAUAUUUAUUUUAUAAAAUAUUAUUAAGAGCGAAUGAAUAGUGAGAUCCAAUAAAGAAGAGUAAAAAAUUAAAAAUGUAAUAUACUCUUUUCUAAAUUAUAUAAAAAAAUGACACUUAAAAUAGAACAAAAAAAAAUCUUAAAAGUUAAACAGAAUAUCGGAAGUAUAAAUAAUAGAUUUUAUUUUUUAUUUUUUAAAAAUCGAAUUAAUCAGAGCAAUACUAACAAAAUAAUAUUGUAAAGUUACUUAGGACAUCCCUUCCUCUUAUCUCUCCGUGUGGUCGCUUUCAUUGGCUUCAUAAUCAUACACAUAUUCAUGGCCCACUUACGAAGCCAUCUCACAACCACAAAAUAUAAUUUUCAAAAGAAAAAUGACCGUUCGGACAGCUUGUUAAGUUUUUCCACACUUCUUCCUCACUUUCCCACUCUCUAUAACGGCUACAAUAGAAGGCUCUGGAACAAUCUACCUGUUUUAAGACGGCGGGACACGUGUAACCAAUCACAUGGGCUGCUUUUGCUCGAAAAUGGAGAAGAAUAAGCUGUAGUGUUACUCUUAGAUGUGAAUUAUUUGCUUCAAAUGAUGCUUUAGUUGUUUCUAGUGAAAAUAGAGCAAUAGUAAUUUUUUUUUUUUACCAUUUAAUAUGAUGUACAAUGAAUUUUUUACACUAUGUACUAUUAUGCAGCAGUUACAACAUUUUAAAGUCCAUCAAAUAGUAUAAUCCAUUAGAAAAUCCAAUAAAUUUCUCAUUGCUCUUUUGAAUAAUAUUUACUAUAUUUGUGCAUAUUAAUUAUUAAAAAAAAUUUAUUUACACCCGGUGUUUGGAUCUAUUUAUACAUCAAAUCAAUCACAAAUAAUAUUUUGAUUUAAUCAAAUGUAUUUCUAAUCAUAUAUUAAAAAAAGAUAAAAUAAUAAUUUUUUUGAUUGGUUUACUGAAUGAGACUACCCAUAUACUAAGUGUUGAUAAAAAUUUCCUUAAUUAUUAUAGAAAAGUUAGAAAUAAUUCAAUCGCUUUUCCUUAACUUACUUUUUUGCACUUAAUGUAAUAAAAAAAACUUCAAAACUUUAAUAAUGUAAAAUGAUUCUUACUAAAUUGUAUAGUUAAGUCUAAUAGGAUUGUUGAGACUUUGGUUCUUAAUUUAUGAAAUUUCAAUUUUUAUCCUAAAAAAAAAAAAACAAAGUAACAGGAAAGCUCAUAUAAAUGAACAUGCAAGAGAAAAAAAAAUCAUUUUUUAACUAAAGUAAAUUAUUGCAUACUUCCCUCCUAGAUUACUCUGAAAAAUAAAAAAUAAAAUACACAAAAUUAAAAAUAUACGAGCUUUGUUAACAGAUACAUAUUACGUACAUUUACGAUUACAUUCUUAGCAUAAUAUCAAAAUUUUCAAAAACAUUACAGUUCUUUUAUUCUAUUUACAUUGUAAGUAUCUCUCUACACAGAUUAUGCCAAAAAUACUUUUUGAAUAUCAGUUAAUCAGAUUUAAAAUAGAAUCAGGUGCAGGUGAUAUUACUUAAAAAAAUAAUAUUUCACUGUGCCACGGCAUAUAAGAUAAAAGUGUAAUCGGCAUAUAAGAAGGCACAAAAUCAAGAGAGUUGACAUGAAUGGACUGCUGUUGGGAGUGUGAGUUGGACGGAUUUGAAAUAAAGAUAAGAGGAAAGGCAUAGGUGGGACCUGUUUACUGUGCCACAGCAUGAACCGUGAUGUUUUUUGCCAGCUGGUGGACACGUGAUUCUUGAUUAGUUCAAUUACUGCAUUUGAUCAAACAUGGCCCCACUCUUUGAAUAUUUAAUUUAAGAAAAAAACCCAACCAGAACACCUCAUAUUUCCUGACUGAAAUGCUUGCUUGCUGCGGGCUACUACAAUAUAUAAGAUAUAUCUAUACUGAAACCCUUUAUCUUUAAUUGGCAUUAUUAAAAGAUUUUGUAACCUUACACCGUGGAAAUACUGGAAAUGACAAUUUUAACUCAUUUAAAUGUAAAAGUUAAUUAACAAAUUUAUUUUGGAUAAUUUAUACAAAAUAUGAAUAAAUAUUGUAUUUCUAAAAUAUAAGUCGUUUAAAGUAUUGCAUGCGAUUAAUGAAUCAAUUAAUUUCGCUAAAAAUUAUAUCACUCCGUCUCAAAAUUUAAGUUGUCUAAGGUGAUAAUUUUAUCACAAAAUAUAAGUCAUUUUGAAUAUUUUAAGAAAUUACAAAUGAUUUUUUUUCUUUCAACUGUAUCCUUAUUUAUAUUAGAUAUAAUACAACGAUGUGAGAUAAAAGUAACAAUGAGAGAUAAAUGAUAAUUUGUUCAAAUUACUCUUGAUUUUGUUAGAAAUUUAGAAAAAUUAAUUGCAUUUUUAAUUCUCGUAUAAAAAUCUUAAACGACUUAUAUUUUGGACAAAUAGAGUAAUAAACUCAACAAUAAUUUGAUUUAUGAGAAUUAAUUUAAACGAUCAAAUUAUCCUUAAUCUCAAAAUCAAGUUAUUGUAUUAUGAAUAAAGUUAAAAUUGGAAAAAAGAUUAUUUGUUAAAUAUGUUUUGAAAUCAAAUAGUUUUAUGAGUUAAAAAGAUUAGAAAUAAUCAUUUUUUAAAUUCAUUUGGUGUUAAAUUGGGAUGAUAAAUUAUCAAAAAAAAAAAAAAAAUAUAUAUAUAUAUAUAUAUUUGACAAACAGAUUGAAAGCUAGUUCUUUUGAAAGUUUACUGAGAACACAAAUUACAAGCUCAUAGUAGUUAGUAGCUUGAUUAAGGAAACCCAUGAAGGACAAAAUGACAGUGGCAAAUGCCUUUGAGACCAAAAGGCUUCAGCUUCAAUUUUUUAUAACGUAACAUUUAAUAUCUUUCUCUUUAUGAUUUUUAAAUUAUUGUAAUUGCUAUCAACAGUAUAAAGUAUAGAAAAUUCAUUAUAUAUAAUAUUGAAUAAAAAAAAAAAAAGGGUGAGAAAUGUCAUUAUUUAUAGAAUUAAUUCACACAAACAUAAAUGCGAAGCUUCAUUCUACCUUUUAGGUGCUACCAUUCACUGAAGGGGAACGCACGCAUCAUUGAAGCUCAACGCCUGUCUUUUGCACUUUUCAAACUGAAUCAUUUCAUUCGUGAAAUAAAUUGAUGGAUAAAGGGCAAUUGCCAAACAAUAUUAACGGCAAAAACAAACGAGUCUUUUUUUUUUUUCUUUUUCUUUUCUUUUCAUUAGAAUAUUUAAAGUAUUGGUUAGAGGUAUAAUUAUAAAAUAUAAUUGAUCUCAUAAUUAAUCUUUUCCUUUUCUUAAUAAUAAUCAUUAUAGUCUUGCUUUUGGUGUUAUAGUUGUUUUUUUUUUUUAAUAAUAAAAAAAUAAUGUAUUAUGUCAAUCGAAUGUGAUCUGAUUGGUAUUUCCAUUCACCUUGAGAAGUUUCAAAUUUUAGAUAGUUAACUAUCAGAGUUAUCGUCAAUUUUGCUUAUAAAACAACAAGAGAGCUACCUAUAUUAUGCAGCCCACAAAAAUUCUUUAUAAUAAAUUAAAAAAAUAUUAUUUUAUUAAAAUUGAUAUAUUAUAUUUGUUAUUUAAUAGUUUGAACUAGAAAAAUAAGCUACUAAAAUUCACACAGAUUUUCUUAAAUAUAAAUUUUUACUAUGAAAAAUAGAAAUCAAAGUCAGAAAACAGAAAUGAUACAAAAUAGACACGUAAUCAUAUUUGAUGAGCAUUUCUCAUAAUACACGUUAGCUUGUUUAGCUUGUUUCGUGUAAAUUGAUGAUCCCAUUCUGUUUCGACAUAAAUGGUAUCAUUGGUUAUUAUAAACAAUUUCAAAAAUUUUUGAGCUACCACCAUAAAUACAACUUGUAUGAUUUCAAUUUUCAAAUUUAAAAGUUAUCUAAUAUCUACUUUAUCAAUGGACCUACACCUUUCCAAAUUUCUUGUUAAUCUUAUGCAUUAGAAAAUUUAGCCAAAUAAAAUUGAUAUUAUAUAUCAAUUUUAUUUAUUUUUCAAUUUAAAAUCACAAGUUUAAUUAUCGGAAAAUGCAUAUACUAUGAAGAAAAAAUUUUUAUAAUCAACUAUCCAAAAGAGAUUAGUUUACACCAAUAUAGUAGAAGAAAAAUAGUGGAAGAACACGUGACGAUUCUAAUAUGAUAUACAUAAACUAAAAAUAUUUUAAAGGAGUCUUCACUUAUAAUUUUGUUUUCAAAAUUUAAUACUUGUAAUUUGUUUUAACCAACUAUUUACUAUUUUUAAUUGAUUUUGUAAACUCAAAACUCCAUUUAUUUUUCAAAAAAUAAUUUAUUUUUAAAAAAUAUUUUUAAAAGCAAAACAUACUUGAAAAUUUGAAAUAACACAUUUUCUAUUGUUUGGUUACAAUAUUGAAAAAUUGUUAAAAAAUAUUAAAGCUUUUAUAAGAUCGAAAAAAUUUAUAAUUAUAAAAAGUUUCACAUUUUAAAAUUUUAUUAUUUAAUACAACAUAAAUAUUUAUUACGUGCUUGAUUGUAAUUUGUAUCUAAGACUUAAUCAUAUUUUAUGGACCAAAGAUAUAUUUUGUAUAGAAUCCAGAUAGAAAUAAGAGAUUAUAUUCCUAAAUCCUUCGCUAACUCUCAAUGAACUAGCAAUCACUCCAAAAUACUUAUUGAAUUGGUAUUUCAAAUAUUUAUCUAAUAAAGAUUCCACCUACAACUCUAAUGAAAAUUCUUUACCUCUGUAUAAAAGAGGGAUCAAACUCCCUACUCACACUAUUUAGGCAAUGUAAUACCAAUAUAUUUCAUUCAAUUAUAAGUAUUUAUUAUUUAUUUACUGACUUAAACAUAAAAGUGAUUGCAGGCCUAGAUGAGACCUUUAUUAUUCGUUUAUGUCUUGCAGAUUUCUACGGACCUCUCUUUAUUUUUCCUUGUUCAUUUAUGUCUUACAGAUUUUUACAUAGGCGCUAUGGAUAGAUUUUUCUAAGUCUAUCAUUAUUAAAUAUGAGAAACAAUAUUAUAAAAAAAGAUAAAUUACGAUAUCUAUCGAUGACCGUGGUCGUGAAAAUAAUGAUUAAUUAAUAAUAAAUAUGUAUUUAUAAGUUUAUAAUAAAUUUAUCAGUAUCUGAAAAAUAUUUUUCUCUUUUAGAAAAAGAAAGUUAUAAAAAUGAUUUAGUUCUCUCUUUCUUAAGGAAAAUAUCAUCUGUUGCUAAUUUUCUUGAACACUUCAAACAUUAAAAAAAAAUCUAAAAAAUAUUAUUCAGACAAGUUAUUUCUCGAAAUUAAUGGAAUCUCAAUAUUAAUUUAUUAUUAUUUUUUCCAUUGAGAAAAAAAUAUAUUAGAUUUAUUCCACUAUUGAGAAUAAAGGAAAUCAUUUAAAAUAAGAAAGCUCAAAAAGUUAUAGCCGUAAUACUAAUAGCAUUAUUUCAAAUUUGUUUGACAUGAUGUAAUCAACCGAAAUGAUAAUUACAUUAUAUGAGUAAUUACAUUAUUUGAUUAGACUUUUUUUAAUAGCGUAGUAUAAUUGAGACUACGUGUAUAAUCUUCAUCACUUAAAUUGAUGUAAUACUCAUUACAUGAAAAAACACACAUAUUGUCUAUUACAUCAAGUAAAUGGAAUACCGAUUAUAUUAAGUCAUCCCAAUCAAAACUCUACCAUUCUAGAUUAUUUAGGCUGUGUUGGGUAAUAAAGUUUUGAGUGGCUUUUAAAGUUUUGACUGGUCAAAACGUUACUUAAAAAGUUGUUUGGUAACAUAGCGUUUGGACUAGCUUUUAGAGAUUAGAAUAACGUUUUGUGAAAAGUUAACUCACGUAACGUUUAGCUUUUAGCGUUUCAUGAAAAACUACUCAAACAGCUAACAACUAAACACUAUUAAAAUAGCAAAUAGCUACCAAAAUAGCUAAUUUUGCCGAACAUAUCCUUAAUACUACCACUUCACCACCACAACCACUAUCACCGCUUCACCACCACAGCACCACCUUAACACCCACCACAACCACUGCCACAAUUACUACUCCACCACCACCACCACCACUACUGUUCCAUCACUACUUCAACCACCAUUACCGCUCUGCAACGACAACCAUCACCAUUGUUCUACCAUCACCACUACUACCACCAUCACUGCUCCAUCACUAUCACCUCAACUACCACCACCGCUGCUGCUGCCUCAACUCCUACCAUCAUCGCUCCACCACCACUAUCACCACCAUCGCUUUACCACCACCACCAUGUGGUGGUGAUAUGAUUAGUGGUGAUGGUGUGCUAAUUAUAUUACAUAUUUACAAAAAAAAAAAAAAAGAACGAUGAUUAUAUUCCUAAAUUUUCUUGAUAAUAUUAUCAAACAUAGUAAUGAAAUCUUAAUUAAAUUACGUUUUUCAUCACAUUACUUCUUUAAUUACAUUAUAUUGCCUUACAUCAAACCAGACAUAGCGUUAGCAUGUAUAUCCUCAUACACAUCAAAACUUGACUCUAAUAUCUAUGAGAAAAAUGCACAGUUAAGCCCUUAAAUUUAAUCAGUUUUUCCAUUAAACUUUUAUUUAUGAAUAUUAAGUUUUUAAACUUUUAUUUUUUUUAAAAAAAUUAAACUCUAUUUAACCGAGAUUUAAACUUUUAUUUUUUUAAAUUAAACUCUUAUUUAAUUAUGAGUUAAACAAUUAUAAUCCCAUAUGUUAUACGCGGUUGAUGGGAAAACUUAAUCGAAUUGUUAAAUCUCUUAAACUUUUAUUUUUUGAAAAUUAAGUUUUUAAAUUUGUACUUUUGUUAAAGUGAGUAUUUAAAUUAUUUCCAUUAUCAGUGAUUUGAAUUUAUUAUUUACUCACUAUCGAUUUAGAACUUAAUUUUAACUUAAAUAAAAAUUGAAGGAUUCAAUAUUGAUAAAUGAAAUUGCAGGAGCUUAGUAGACAAAACUUGAAAAAUAAGAGGCUUAAGUACAUCUUUUACCAAAUAUAAUCAAGAGUUAAUUUACACUCACACAUAGGUGAGGAUAGGAUUAGGAUAGAAGUGUGGUAAGUGCCCGCGAACUUUGAGUUAUCCAUAUCUAUAUCUGUUUAGAGCUUUAAAAUCAAUUGUAUCUAUGUUAAAUCCGUUUAAAUACCUAUAUCAAAAUCUGUUUAAAAUUUUACUGUCCGAUCCAUUCAAAAUCUAUUUUAAAUACUUGUAUUUGAUGUUCAUAAAAUUUAAACCAUUUAAACACGAACUUAUUUAAAAAAGUAUCUUCCAUUGAUAAUGGAUAAAGUAUCAAGGAUACUCACAGUAAAACUCAUUUAAUAUAAUGGAUAACAAGUAACGAAUAUUCAAACUCAUUUAGUAAAACUCCUGAAUUCAAACGACAGGAUUUGCAAGUGAAGAGAGAUGGAACCUAAAACGGUUGGCUAUGUACUCAAUGUAGAUUCACUAACAAAGUACAACAAAUGCAAAUACCAAGUAAAAAGGAACAAAUGGUUAAGAAUUCAGACAAAGUCCUAACUUCAAAGUUCAAAGUUCAAACCAUAAAAUCAUUUCAGUAAGGAGAAAUCAAACUAAAACUUUUGAAUGUUAAAAUUUCAACUUUAACCACAGAACCAAAACCCUGUUAGCUAUGUACUAACACAAAGUGCAAGAAACACCGAGUACGAACUCAAGCACAGUAAGAUUGAGCUGGAUUGCCCAUAACCCAAAAACACUAGAAUGUGUCUGGUGUGGAGGGGUCCAGAAGCCAACUUAAAUAGAAGCAGAGGGACAACACUGGAAAUUAUGAUUUAAAAAAAAAAAAAAAAAAAAAACUAAAAAGCAAAGAGAGAAACAGACAAGAAAUAACCGUUGUAGGGGUGGCUUUUUGGGUUGGAUGCCAGGCUGACGCUUGAGCCCCCCUCAGAUGAUUCAGCUCACAUGGUCUAUCUGUACACUCUGGGUCCCACCCUCCACUUUCUCUCUCUACUACCCUCUUUGGAUUAGUUGUCAAAUGAUCCUUUUAUGUUAUCAUAUUACACACUUUCAUCCUAUCUAUUUCAAAGUUACUAACUUUAGUUAAUGAGAUUUAAUCUGCCAAAUGCAUAAAUUAAUAUCUAAAUUUUAUAAGAAGAGUCUAGUAGCACCUUUAAACGUUGAAAACUUCUUUUCGUAAAAUUAUAGCUAGUAAAUGCCUUAAUUUAAAAAACCGUAUUUAUUAAAUACUUAAACGUAUAUAAUUAUGUUUAUUAAAUAUUUAUCGGAUGAUUUAAAAUAUAAAAAUUUUAUUAUUUAAUAAAUUAUAUUAAAAGUUAUAUAAAAUGUUACACUUAUUGAAUAUAUUAUUUAGUAAUUGUUGUAAAAUUAAAAACCCUGUUUUUUUUUUUUUCAAAUUAAGUUGAUACUUAGUCUCAACUGUGCUUUUAUCCAUAAUUUUAAAUAAUUUAUUUGUAGAAACCCUAAAAACCAUAUAUUUUUCGUUGACAUAUCAUAAAAAUUAAAAUUAUUAAUUUCAAACUGUUUAAAUACUGGUAAAAUGUAAAAUAAUGCAAAUGGUGACAGUUUUUGCAACCAACUUUUUUUCUUGGAAAUUCUCUGUAUUACAAUCGUCUUUUAUAAUAUUUUUAUUAAUAUUAUUUUGUUCCAAACAUGCCCUUGUCUUAUCCAAAUAAUGCCCCGUACUCUCCUGCCCUUCUCUCUAUUCUUAUAAGGGCAGUGGCCUGUGGAUCAAAGACCACAGUCCCAAGAGAGAAGAGAAAGACAAAGCAAUUAAGCUCACAAGAGAGAAGCUCUUCUAUUUUCUAGAGUAAGAAAGAAGAAAGAAGACGAUGGCCAAGGAAGUAAGUGAAGAAACGCAAACUACCCAUGCAAAGGAUUAUGUUGAUCCACCACCUGCGCCACUGAUCGACAUGGCUGAAAUCAAGCUCUGGUCUUUCUACAGAGCUUUAAUAGCUGAGUUCAUAGCCACUCUCCUUUUCCUUUACAUAACUGUAGCCACUGUAAUUGGCUACAAGAAACAAACUGAUCCAUGUGGUGGAGUUGGUCUUUUGGGCAUUGCAUGGGCCUUUGGUGGCAUGAUCUUUAUCCUUGUUUACUGCACUGCCGGUAUAUCUGGUAAGUAAAAAAAAAAGGAACUAUUUCUCUAAGUUACUAGUACCCAAAUGGGUAUUUAUUAAGUUUUAGGUUUCUGUGAAGUUUCUUUGUGGAUUUGGUCAUUCAACUUGAAAAAUAACAAAACCCAUUUGUUUUCAAGACCUGUUUAAUAAUGGGUUUUCCUUAUUUUGGUUACAGGUGGUCAUAUUAACCCAGCAGUGACCUUUGGGCUGUUUUUAGCAAGAAAGGUGUCACUAAUUCGAGCCUUGGCUUACAUGGUGGCUCAGUGUUUAGGUGCCAUCUGUGGUGUAGGGUUGGUCAAAGCUUUUAUGAAGAAUCCAUAUAAUCAUCUUGGUGGUGGUGCUAACUCUGUAAAUACCGGCUAUAGCAAAGGAACUGCUUUGGGUGCUGAGAUCAUCGGCACUUUUGUUCUAGUCUACACUGUUUUCUCUGCAACUGACCCCAAGAGAAGUGCACGUGACUCACACGUUCCUGUAUGUUAUCAACCAUAGCCUAGUAUAGCUCUCCUCUUUCAUGUCAAAGAGUUCAAAUCUAAACUUUGUUUUGGUUAUGUUUGGUUGCAGAUUUUGGCUCCACUUCCAAUUGGGUUUGCAGUUUUUAUGGUUCACUUGGCUACCAUACCCAUUACUGGUACUGGUAUUAACCCAGCGAGGAGCUUCGGUGCUGCUGUUAUUUACAACAAUGAUAAAGUCUGGGAUGAUCAUGUAAGCCUCUUGAUAGUCAACCAGAAACUUAUUUUUCUUGAUUUUAUGGUUGUUUUGAAGUUGGUGCUUUUUAACAUAAAACAUCAGAAGUAGGUUAAUUUUCAAGAAUAUGUUUAUCUUCUUGAUAAAAUAAUUUAAUUUCCUUUUUAAUUAUUUUUUGGAUGGGCAGUGGAUUUUCUGGGUUGGACCGUUUGUUGGAGCAAUUGCAGCAGCUGCAUACCAUCAAUACAUACUGAGAGCAGCAGCUAUCAAAGCUUUGGGAUCUUUCCGCAGCAACCCCACCAACUAAAAUGAAAGAAAGAACGAAAGAAAGAAAAACAAGAAAAAAAAAAAAAACCAAAGGCUUUGUGUAGCUAUCUUUAGUCUCUAGUCUUUCUUUUUCUCUAUUUGUUUGUUUGUUGUGUGUAAUGAGAGGAUUAUGAUGAUGACCCUUCUUUCUUCUUUCUUUUUUUACUUCAUUUUUUCUUUUCUUAUUGUUCUUUUGUAUCAUUGUUAAUGAGUAGUGCUGUUCUUUUUUCUUUCUUUUGAUCAUAUUUAAUUGCUUUGUGCAGUGUAGAACGUUCUCUCUCAACACUCUUUUAAUAAUUAGCCACUAAAUAAACUACCAGCUAACUAAAUUUUUAUCCUCUCGACCUUCAUUACAGCGGUGCUAGUGAAUUUGUGAGUAGCGGUUAGGCCAUCUUCGGGAACAGUUUUUUCAUAUGGC
rnacentral:lncRNA from 1 species